CGUACUCCUUGUCACAAGAUCCUUGGCUUAUAAACUUACAAUACGAGCAAGAAUCAAUUAAAAUAAUGAUCACCGGUCACCAAAAUUAUGCUUUUAUCUUUUCAACUUGAAGCAUGAAACAGUUACCGUACUGAAAACAGACUUUGAAUUUGCAGAUUUUCUUCGUUCUAUACGUUGUAUGAUUAUUUCCCUGACUGGAUGUUGUUUCAUAAUCCUAAGAUUG